rnacentral:rRNA from 1 species
GACGAACGCUGGCGGCGCGCUUAACACAUGCAAGUCGAACGGAAAGGCCUGCUUUCCCUUGUGGAUUGCGGGUACUCGAGUGGCGAACGGGUGAGUAACACGUGAGUAAUCUGCCCCCAACUUGGGUAUAAGCCUGGGAAACUGGGUCUAAUUCCCGAUAGGACUGCAGGGUGGUGCCUGUGGUGGAAAACGAUUUUCUAGUGGUUGGGGAUGAGCUCGCGGCCUAUCAGCUUGUUGGUGGGGUAAUGGCCUACCAAGGCGGCGACGGGUAGCCGGCCUGAGAGGGUGGACGGCCACAUUGGGACUGAGAUACGGCCCAGACUCCUACGGGAGGCAGCAGUGGGGAAUAUUGCACAAUGGGCGGAAGCCUGAUGCAGCGACGCCGCGUGGGGGAUGACGGCCUUCGGGUUGUAAACUCCUUUCGACCGCGAGGAAGCCACCUGGUUGGAAGGGUGGUGACGGUAGUGGUAGAAGAAGCACCGGCUAACUACGUG